rnacentral:rRNA from 1 species
CGCGUAGGCGGUGCGGUAAGUCACCUGUGAAACCUCCCGGCUCAACUGGGAGCCUGCAGGCGAAACUGCCGUGCUGGAGUGUGGGAGGGGUGCGUGGAAUUCCCGGUGUAGCAGUGAAAUGCGUAGAGAUCGGGAGGAACACCUGUGGCGAAAGCGGCGCACUGGACCACAACUGACGCUGAGGCGCGAAAGCUAGGGGAGCAAACAGGAUUAGAUACCCUGGUAGUCCUAGCCCUAAACCAUGGAUGCUUGGUGUAGCGGGUACCCAAUCCCGCUGUGCCGCAGUUAACGCGAUAAGCAUCCCGCCUGGGGAGUACGGUCGCAAGGCUGAA